rnacentral:rRNA from 1 species
AANCAGGCAUUUUCAANCAUUGGGUUUUGUACAAUUGAAAAUGAUGUAUGAUGGCGAACCCGCACAAUUUGAAAUGGCUUAUAAACGAAAAAAAAGGAACCAGGUGAAGGCGAACGCAUUUUCAUAUCAUUAGAUACGCACCAUAUUGGGACGGUUCAAUCACUAAUUGACCUUAAACAAAAUGGGGUGACGAUUCAAUUUCAUGUGGACAAUCAACGUGUAAAGGAGCGGUUUGAAGCCUCGUUUACCCAAUUAAAAGAAGAAAUUCAAUCCGUUUUAGACCAUCAAGGAAAGGCCUAUACAAUCGUGAUUCGGAUGUAUGGUGAAGAAAUGAUGGUUAAGUCUUUGUUUAUGAACGAACGGGCGGUAGAUCAAAUCAGUGGAUUCGACGUAAGGGUUUAGGAGCGGUAUAUGGAUCAGCGAAAAGUAGCGAGUGCACUUAAAUACAGUAAGGGUCAAGAUGGGGCGCCUAAGCUUAUUGCCAAAGGUUCUGGCUUUGUCGCGGAAAAAAUUAUUGAAGCUGCAGAAGAAAACGCGGUUCCAGUUUAUGAAGAUCCGUUGUUGGCAACGCAAUUGGCCAAUUUGUCAAUUGGUCAAGAAAUUCCAUCUGAGUUAUACAAUGUUGUCGCUGAAGUGCUUGUGUUCAUUAGCAAAAUGGAUCAAAAGAUGAAAUAGGGGGCAUGUGAAUGACUAAAUCUGUCUC